GCCAGCGCCCUGGGGACAGCGCCCCACGUCCCACCCUGCCCUUGAGUGCAGAAUCUCCGAGGUCUUUCUCUGCAUCUUCCUGAUGGGAGCAACGACAUUUGCAGGGACCAGAGCUGGCAUCGUACCCAUUCUCAGCUACAGGAGUCAGCUGCAAAUGUCCCCUGGAGUGGAGUGCAGCAGCAGAGUUUCCCCAAGAACAAUCUUCAGUUCUUCUAAAACCACUCAUGUAACUUUACUUUUCAGAAGCAGCAUCAGUAGGAGAACCAGGGACCUCAGUGCUUAAGAUGCCCCUGGUGCCCUCCCCAGUGCCACCUACUCUGCCAGCCACCAGCUCCAGGGGCGAGCACCAGCCUCAUCUGCAGAGCACUCACAACCUUCAAAUGAUCAGAGUCACUUUUUAGUAUUCUUGGCUCAUCAUUGGUUGAAUCUUUGGAUGCAGAACCUGAAGACACCGAGGGACAGCUAUUAUGAAAAACCCACCAGAAAAAUGAAAAUGCUGCCUUGAAAACACCAACUUCAUGCCAAAGAAUGCAGCAAGGGUGGACUAGAGGAGCAAUGUGACACAGGAGAUGCCCAGUAAAAACUAAUGACAAGUAUAAAUCCAGAUGGACCAGUGAUGCCAUCAAAGGUGAAUGGGUUACAAAAUGCAGUGAAAACUUGCACAAUAUUGCACAAGAGGAGAAUAGGAUCUGCCCAGGUGCUGUCUACAAGAGGCACAGUUCAGAUUCACGAUAAAGAUAAAUUUAAGAUAAAUGGGUGGAAAAUUUUAUAAAAAUAUAUGGGAAAAGAUAUCAAAACAAAGUGUCUCCACACGGCUAAUGAGAUGAAAUGUCACACAUCAAUGGCAGCACUCUUCAACCAGGCAAGGGGAUGUCUGUCACAGACCUUACUUUAAAGGCCCCAGUGGCCCAGACAAAGCAGAAAUCGGAAAACGGUGUGCGCCUGGGUCACAACAGGUCCCUAUGCGUCCACCUGGAGACCAAGUCAGGUCAGGCCCCAAGAAAAGCUGCUCUGCGCUGCUCCAUUCCUGCUCCCAAACAUGGGUGCUUCGGGGGAGCCUCGGGUCCGCAGUGAGGAGGCAGGGAAGCCAGCUGAUGUUCUCUCAGAAAACACAAAGCCAACGUUCCUAGAUAACACAACACCAUUUCUGGGUGGGGACAGCCAUCUACUUUCUCGUUUCUCUCUGUGUUCCAAUUUGUGCUCCUAGAAAUACUCAUGAAAUUUCACGCUGUCACCAAUAUUUGGAUUUUUUUAUUGAGCAAU